rnacentral:rRNA from 1 species
GACGAACGCUGGCGGCGUGCUUAACACAUGCAAGUCGAACGGAAAGGCCCUGCUUUUGUGGGGUGCUCGAGUGGCGAACGGGUGAGUAACACGUGAGUAACCUGCCCUUGACUUUGGGAUAACUUCAGGAAACUGGGGCUAAUACCGGAUAGGAGCUCCUGCUGCAUGGUGGGGGUUGGAAAGUUUCGGCGGUUGGGGAUGGACUCGCGGCUUAUCAGCUUGUUGGUGGGUAGUGGCUUACCAAGGCUUUGACGGGUAGCCGGCCUGAGAGGGUGACCGGCCACAUUGGGACUGAGAUACGGCCCAGACUCCUACGGUAGGCAGCAGUGGGGAAUAUUGCACAAUGGGCGGAAGCCUGAUGCAGCAACGCCGCGUGCGGGAUGACGGCCUUCGGGUUGUAAACCGCUUUCGCCUGUGACGAAGCGUGAGUGACGGUAAUGAGUAAAGAAGCACCGGCUAACUACGUG